ensembl:lncRNA
CUACUUUACAGAUCUGAGCGUCAGGCACUGAAAGGGGCACCCUGGGUGGGGUCCUAGUCUGUAGUUCAGUGCAUCAGGCGUUUGAUGGACCAGCCUCUCUAUUGUUCAGCUGCGGAUUCUGGCGUGUGGGGGGAGAGAGGCUAUGGUGAUGGCUCCACCCCCUACCUGUGACUCAGCAAUAUGGCCCUGCUUCCAUGGCUGCCAGGCUUUCCUCCACAGGCAUUUCCCACCACAGUCUCCUCCCACACAUCCCCUCAAUCUGUCUCUCUUCAGUCAACAGCAGCCCUCACCCCGGGAUUGCUCCACAAUCCCUAAACUCCAGUUCCCAGCCUCUGCGCCUUCCAGGGGAUCUACUUCCCUGUCUGGGCAGAUACAGCAAGGAGAAAGAUACGCACAAACCAAGAAGAGCGCUCUCACCAGACACGGAAUCUGCUACCACCUUGAUCUCAGAUUUCCCAGCCUCCAGAAUGGAACUUGGGGAAGUUUAGUAAAUCCCCCAACAUCCCCACACUGAGGAAUACCUGGCUGAAACGCUAAUCCAGUCUGUCUGGCCUGAAGCCCACAUGUUGUCUAUGGUGCUGUUUAGAGAGAAGAGCAAGACAGGCCCACAGUGCCAGCUGGGGAAGAGGCAGCAGUAGCAGGAACCCUUGCCAGCCCAGCCUUUGGGAAGACUCCGAGCACAGUGGGAAGGAGCUGAAUGCAUUUCAACUGCAGCCAAGUUAGUGGUUUUAACUUCAUAAACAUGUCUUAAAUGUUAUGGCUCUUAUCUCUAUGCCAUGGCAUUCC